rnacentral:rRNA from 1 species
AUUGAACGCUGGCGGCAGGCCUAACACAUGCAAGUCGAGCGGAUGAAGGGAGCUUGCUCCUGGAUUCAGCGGCGGACGGGUGAGUAAUGCCUAGGAAUCUGCCUGGUAGUGGGGGAUAACGUCCGGAAACGGGCGCUAAUACCGCAUACGUCCUGAGGGAGAAAGUGGGGGAUCUUCGGACCUCACGCUAUCAGAUGAGCCUAGGUUGGAUUAGCUAGUUGGUGGGGUAAAGGCCUACCAAGGCGACGAUCCGUAACUGGUCUGAGAGGAUGAUCAGUCACACUGGAACUGAGACACGGUCCAGACUCCUACGGGAGGCAGCAGUGGGGAAUAUUGGACAAUGGGCGAAAGCCUGAUCCAGCCAUGCCGCGUGUGUGAAGAAGGUCUUCGGAUUGUAAAGCACUGUUAGUUGGGAGGAAGGGCAGUAAGUUAAUACCUUGCUGUUUUGACGGUACCAACAGAGUAAGCACCGGCUAACUUCGUG